rnacentral:lncRNA from 1 species
CACCAGCAUAAGAUGUAGUGUCUUAAGAGUAACUACAGAAAACUCUAACAUGUUUUUAGAGGAUAAGGGAGUGCUUAGAAAAACAUCAAAGCAUCUUUUCAGUUGCUGUUUAAAACCACUCUUGUUUCGCAGUUUUUAAGCACUAUCACUCAGCACUGGUUUUGCUUCCUAAUGUUGAUUUGCUUUCAGCCGAGCUUUUGUUUCGCAAAGUCUGUGAAACACACCUGCCUAAAUACUUCAGUAAUAUGGAGCAAAUGUGAAAAUGGCUCAGUAUCUAUUAUUUCGUAACUGAAACCUAGUCAGGUUUCUUUUGUAUUUUAGUGCGAUAUUGUAAGCCACACAGGAAACCUACCUUCAUUUCUAUAGUGACUUAUUCUAGAAUAUUUGGUCAGAUAUUAUCAACUAUAUAAUAUAUUAAAAUUACUCAGUGUUGGCACCACUCCUAAAUUCAAGCCCAUCUAUGUGCAUUAUAGCACUAUUCGGAUAUUCAAAGAGAUUGAAAUGAGUUUCAUUUUCUGCCAGACGGCAAAUAAAGUAACCAUCAAAGCAGGUAAAGCCAAAAUAAAAAGAAAAAAAAAGAAGACACAGUGUCUUUUUUCUUUAUUUACAGAAAGAUUAGGUCAAGUGAUUCUUUUAUGACAAAUGGUGUUCCUGUUCCUACUGAAAUCAAUGACAAAGCCCCAUUGAGUUCACUGACAGCAUAGGCUGUUCCAGUUGGGCAGUGCAAACACAAACCCUGACUGUGCCUUUGCUGACUUCAGUGUAAAUCUGCAUUAACCAUACUCAAUUUCUGUCUAGCUAGAAUUUGACUGUUCUUGAAUUCUAUCAAAGUGGGUUUAACUUUUUCUGAUCAAAGUACAGUUGUUAACAAUGAAGUGAGAAGGAUUUUUACUAACAGGAACAGAUUCAAAGAGUUAAUGAAACCAAACUUCAUAAUUAUACAGGUCAGCAGAAUGUUCAGCUAUUGUCAUCAGCAUUGCCAGAUGGAUUUCAGUGGAAAUAUACUCCUUUUUCACAGGCAGAGGUCUGGCAGACUACACAGUUUUCUCAGUUUUUAGGUAAUUGCAAAGAAGAUGAUCACUGUUGCUGAACUCUUUGCAUCACCAGAUAGACUGCAAGUCAAUAAGUAGAGUUUACUGAAUUUACCAUCUUCAAAUCACAGAGUGGUAGAAAAACACCAGCUCUGUGGG